CCGAUGCCGUAUCCUGCCGCCCGUUUUACCCGCGGGAAAGCCGAGGCCCGGUGCUGUAUUCUGCCGCCCAUUUUACCCGCGGGGAAGCUGAGGCCCAGUGCUGUUUAAUAUCUUACUCAUGUUCACUUGAUGAGAAAGUGACAGAUCUGAGACAAACCCAGUUCUAGAGGUUAUGACACCAGCCAUGGAAGAGCAGAGAGGCCAAUGAGGUGGGGAGGUUGGAAACAAAAGGCCUUCUCCACCCCAGCUUGACCAACCCAAAAGCUGGAAGGCAAGGAAGACCUAGAUCGACAGAAAAGAAAUGAGUCAACGAUGGUGCAGGUGAUCUGUGCAGUGCUGUGCAGGGGAUGGGUCAAAGCUGUGAUGCUGGCAUGCAACUAACUCACCAUUAAAGGGACCAGCUUGACGAAGCUUCUGCUUUUGUGACUGUCUCCUAAUGGGAGAAGUGAAAUUCUACCUCACUUUUUUAAAAGAAGAGCCUGGAAUUGGCCUAUCCGUCUUUUUCCCCGUUGGAUCACAGAGCAGAAAGGAAGCUAAGACCUCUAGUACAGUGUUCAAUGGAACUGGUGAGAAAAGACGUCCUUGCUGUGUUCCUGAUAUGAAGAGGAAAGCAGUCCUUCUCCAUUAAAUGCUGACAACAUGAGCCUCCCGUGGUCGGAACGGGCUUGUGAAGGCGGUGCUGGGGUGCACCAGGGCAGCAGCUACAGAAUGCACCAGCUGGAGUCGACAUUAAAGGGCCCCAUUUCCCAUUUGCUGCAGAAGAUGUUUAAUUGGAAGUCUCUCCCUGUCCUUUUACCCUCUGGUGCUGGGCACCAAUGAGAAGCUCAUCUGGCCCCGGGAUCCUGGCAGGACACUGGGAGCACUAUUUCCAUGGGCAGCAGGGUUGUUCCUGGAGACAUCACUGACCCAGGACACCUAGCACAAUGGCACUCGAUGUGAAAGUGGCUUCGUACAAAUCUGCCACUCAAGCCUAAAUAAGUGCAUUCCAGAAGAGCCGCAGCCCCUCUAACAGCUCCUGAGGUGAGGGAAACCCUAGGGAUGGGAAGUUGGAGCAGAAAGAGAUGGUGGCCUGAAGUCAACUGCAGUGAAAAUCUCUCCCCAUCAGCAAGUUUUGCAAAGCUAUGGCCACAGGGACACAUGACUGGGGCCCCUCCUAGUCUUGGAAGGAGCCCCCAUGGAAAUGAGGGCCUCACAGUGAAUCCACCUCUGAUCCUACUUCACCUGCAGUCAAAUGAGAAGAGAUUUCAAUCAGCUAAAGACACCCUAUCCCCUCUCCCCGACCCCUGCGACCCCAGGAGCUCCUGCCUUGUCACUGUGUCCCCAAACGAACCGCAUCUGAAUCAAGCCCCUUUCUCUCCCUAGUGGUCAACAUCUGGGCUGUGAUGGGCAGCUCCCACUCUUGCCUUAGAAUAUGACUGGAGAGGUGACUUCUCAUCACAUGGAGAAUAUGUUCACCCCAUGGUGCUUUCCACCCAAGCUGACCAUGGCUUGACUUUUUGGUGUAGUUGCUAGCUCUGUGCCAUCCUUGGCAAUGUGACCCUGGAGCAGCUGUCCCCAGUGUGCAUUUGGGGGAUUUCAUGUAAUUAUGAAUAGGAUGCAAAUUUUAUAGCCCCAGUGAAGGGAAACACCCCUGGCGAGGCUUCCCGGGGCCAGAGAGAGGACUCCACUGAGGGAGAUGGUGGCAGGGCCAUUCUUUGUGUCCUGCUUUUUUUUUUUUUUUUUUUUUUAACAUCCUCUUUAUGUCCUGAGAGCCAUGUGCAGAUGAGGAAAAAUGACAUGCAAUGCAUUUUUGCCUGCCACAAUGACUUUGCAAUCAUAACAAGCAAAAUGUUCUAAACAGUAAGUGAAUCGAGGAAGAUAUACUGCCAAGUCAGGAAGAAAAAAUCCACCUGUUCAGUGAUUUCAGGAACUGCUGAAGAAAAUCACCAGUGAGUAUCAGUUUCUGCAAGAGAAUCUAAUGCAGGCUUUGCUUCUCAUCGGAAUCCCCCAGCUGGUGUCUUGGUUGACUGAGAGUCUGGGGGAGAGGGCAGAGAAUGGAUUUAUUCUCUGCUAGGUUUUUAACAGUCAAGAAGGGCUGUGGUCCUAAGGGGCACUGGUCAAACCUUAGUGUGCAUCAGAAUUAUCUGGAUAAGGCUAGGCACAGUGGCUCACGCCUGUAAUCACAGCACUUUGGGAGGCUGAGGCGCGUGGAUCACCUGAGGUCAGAAGUUCAAGACCAGCCUGGCUCUUUUAGUAGAGAAACCCUAUGUCUAUUAAAAAGUACAAAAUUUAGCCAGGUGUGGUGGUGAGUGCCUGUAAUCCCAGCUACUUGGGAGGCUGAGGCAGGACAGUCACUUGAAUCUAGGAGGCAGAGGUUGCAGUGAACUGAGAUCGUGCCAUUGUGCUCCAGCCUGGGCAACAAGAGUGAAACUCUAUCUC
rnacentral:lncRNA from 1 species